rnacentral:rRNA from 1 species
ACGAAGCGCUUAAUGGAUUCUUCGGAUUGAAGUUUUUGUGACUGAGUGGCGGACGGGUGAGUAACGCGUGGGUAACCUGCCUCAUACAGGGGGAUAACAGUUAGAAAUGACUGCUAAUACCGCAUAAGCGCACAGUGCUGCAUGGCACAGUGUGAAAAACUCCGGUGGUAUGAGAUGGACCCGCGUCUGAUUAGCUAGUUGGUGGGGUAACGGCCUACCAAGGCGACGAUCAGUAGCCGGCCUGAGAGGGUGAACGGCCACAUUGGGACUGAGACACGGCCCAAACUCCUACGGGAGGCAGCAGUGGGGAAUAUUGCACAAUGGGGGAAACCCUGAUGCAGCGACGCCGCGUGAGCGAAGAAGUAUUUCGGUAUGUAAAGCUCUAUCAGCAGGGAAGAAAAUGACGGUACCUGACUAAGAAGCACCGGCUAAAUACGUGCCAGCAGCCGCGGUAAUACGUAUGGUGCAAGCGUUAUCCGGAUUUACUGGGUGUAAAGGGAGCGUAGACGGUUGUGUAAGUCUGAUGUGAAAGCCCGGGGCUCAACCCCGGGACUGCAUUGGAAACUAUGUAACUAGAGUGUCGGAGAGGUAAGCGGAAUUCCUAGUGUAGCGGUGAAAUGCGUAGAUAUUAGGAGGAACACCAGUGGCGAAGGCGGCUUACUGGACGAUC